GAUGAACGCUGGCGGCGUGCUUAACACAUGCAAGUCGAACGAAGCACUUUAUUUGAUUUCCUUCGGGACUGAUUAUUUUGUGACUGAGUGGCGGACGGGUGAGUAACGCGUGGGUAACCUGCCUUGUACAGGGGGAUAACAGUUGGAAACGGCUGCUAAUACCGCAUAAGCGCACGGCAUCGCAUGAUGCAGUGUGAAAAACUCCGGUGGUAUAAGAUGGACCCGCGUUGGAUUAGCUAGUUGGUGAGGUAACGGCCCACCAAGGCGACGAUCCAUAGCCGACCAGGGAGGGUGGCCGGCCACUGUGGGACUGAGACACGGCCCAAACUCCUACGGGAGGCAGCAGUGGGGAAUAUUGCACAAUGGGCGAAAGCCUGAUGCAGCGACGACGCGUGAGCGAAGAAGUAUGUCGGUAAGUAAAGCUCAAUCAGCAAGGAAGAUAAUGACGGUACCUGACUAAGAAGCACCGGCUAAAUACGUG
rnacentral:rRNA from 1 species